GACGUAGGGGGCGAGCGUUGUCCGGAAUUAUUGGGCGUAAAGCGCGCGUAGGCGGCUCGGAAAGUCGGAUGUGAAAGUCAGGGGCUCAACCCUUGGAAGCCGGCCGAUACUGUCGGACUAGAGUCCGGAAGAGGCGAGUGGAAUUCCCGGUGUAGCGGUGAAAUGCGCAGAUAUCGGGAGGAACACCAAUGGCGAAGGCAGCUCGCUGGGACGUUACUGACGCUGAGACGCGAAAGCGUGGGGAGCAAACAGG
rnacentral:rRNA from 1 species